GAUGAACGCUGGCGGCGUGCCUAAUACAUGCAAGUCGAGCGAACAGACGAGGAGCUUGCUCCUCUGACGUUAGCGGCGGACGGGUGAGUAACACGUGGAUAACCUACCUAUAAGACUGGGAUAACUUCGGGAAACCGGAGCUAAUACCGGAUAAUAUAUUGAACCGCAUGGUUCAAUAGUGAAAGACGGGUUUGCUGUCACUUAUAGAUGGAUCCGCGCCGCAUUAGCUAGUUGGUAAGGUAACGGCUUACCAAGGCAACGAUGCGUAGCCGACCUGAGAGGGUGGUCGGCCACACUGGAACUGAGACACGGUCCAGGCUCCUACGGGAGGCAGCAGUAGGGAAUCUUCCGCAAUGGGCGAAAGCCUGACGGAGCAACGCCGCGUGAGUGAUGAAGGUCUUCGGAUCGUAAAACUCUGUUAUUAGGGAAGAACAAAUGUGUAAGUAACUAUGCACGUCUUGACGGUACCUAAUCAGAAAGCCACGGCUAACUACGUG
rnacentral:rRNA from 1 species